UACGGGGGGAGCAAGCGUUGUUCGGAUUUACUGGGCGUAAAGGGCGCGUAGGCGGCGCAACAAGUCACUUGUGAAAUCUCCGGGCUUAACCCGGAGCGGUCAAGUGAUACUGUCGUGCUAGAGUGCGGAAGGGGCUACUGGAAUUCUUGGUGUAGCGGUGAAAUGCGUAGAUAUCAAAGAGGAACACCUGCGGCGAAGGCGGGUUGCUGGGCCGACACUGACGCUGGAG
rnacentral:rRNA from 1 species